rnacentral:rRNA from 1 species
AGUUUGAUCCUGGCUCAGGAUGAACGCUAGCUACAGGCUUAACACAUGCAAGUCGAGGGGCAGCAUUGGAGUAGCAAUACUUCAGAUGGCGACCGGCGCACGGGUGAGUAACACGUAUCCAACCUGCCGCUUACUCGGGGAUAGCCUUUCGAAAGAAAGAUUAAUACCCGAUGGUAUAAAGAGUUCGCAUGUUCUCUUUAUUAAAGAAUUUCGGUAAGCGAUGGGGAUGCGUUCCAUUAGAUUGUUGGCGGGGUAACGGCCCACCAAGUCUACGAUGGAUAGGGGUUCUGAGAGGAAGGUCCCCCACAUUGGAACUGAGACACGGUCCAAACUCCUACGGGAGGCAGCAGUGAGGAAUAUUGGUCAAUGGGCGAGAGCCUGAACCAGCCAAGUAGCGUGAAGGAUGACUGCCCUAUGGGUUGUAAACUUCUUUUAUAAGGGAAUAAAGUGAGGGACGUGUCCCUUUUUGUAUGUACCUUAUGAAUAAGGAUCGGCUAACUCCGUGCCAGCAGCCGCGGUAAUACGGAGGAUCCGAGCGUUAUCCGGAUUUAUUGGGUUUAAAGGGAGCGUAGGUUGACAUAUAAGUCAGCUGUGAAAGUUUACGGCUCAACCGUGAAAUUGCAGUUGAUACUGUAUGUCUUGAGUGUACAAGAGGUGGGCGGAAUUCGUGGUGUAGCGGUGAAAUGCUUAGAUAUCACGAAGAACUCCAAUUGCGAAGGCAGCUCACUGGGGUACAACUGACACUGAGGCUCGAAAGUGUGGGUAUCAAACAGGAUUAGAUACCCUGGUAGUCCACACAGUAAACGAUGAAUACUCGCUGUUUGCGAUAUACAGUAAGCGGCCAAGCGAAAGCAUUAAGUAUUCCACCUGGGGAGUACGCCGGCAACGGUGAAACUCAAAGGAAUUGACGGGGGCCCGCACAAGCGGAGGAACAUGUGGUUUAAUUCGAUGAUACGCGAGGAACCUUACCCGGGCUUGAAUUGCAGAGGAACAUAGUUGAAAGAUUAUGGCCGCAAGGUCUCUGUGAAGAUGCUGCAUGGUUGUCGUCAGCUCGUGCCGUGAGGUGUCGGCUUAAGUGCCAUAACGAGCGCAACCCUUAUCAUUAGUUACUAACAGGUCAUGCUGAGGACUCUAGUGAGACUGCCGUCGUAAGAUGUGAGGAAGGUGG